CAGCAAACACACAUCGACACUCUGUCUUAAAGAGCCUGGCCUUGUUAAAAAGGCUGAUAUUUACACAAGCCAAGUGGGGCGGGGGGUGUUUGUGUGGAAACCUUGCACUGUGGGAAUGGAAGACAAAAGCAGAAGUCUUUCCCCUCAAUGACUCCCGAGACGAGACGCUGGAUAUGUUAUCAGCGCGGGCAGGACGCCAUCCGGGCUGAUCGACGAUCCGGCCUCCCGAUGGCUGGAUGUAAGCAGAUGAGAGACUGAUAACGUGUGAAACAUACGG